rnacentral:rRNA from 1 species
ACAUGCAAGUCGAACGAACUAUGCAAUUGAGUAAUCGAGCGUAUAGUUAGUGGCGAAAGGGUUAGUAAUGGAUAGGUAACGUACCCCGUGCUCUGGGAUAGCCAUUCGAAAGGAUGGGUAAUACCGGAUAACAUCACAGAUCGAUAGGUUUGUGAUCAAAGAUUUAUCGGCGUGGGAGCGGCCUAUUUCCUAUCAGCUUGUUGGUGAGGUAAUGGCUCACCAAGGCGUCGACGGGUAGCGGGACUGAGAGGUUGGCCCGCAACAUCGGAACUGAGAGGUGGGAAAGACUGGUGCCAGCAGCCGCGGUAAUACCAGCGCCACAAGUGGGGGCCGUGUUUAUUGGGCCUAAAGCGUUCGUAGCAGGCUUGGUAAAUCUUUUGUGAAAUCGUUGGGCUAAACUUAACGGCGUGCAGAAGACACUGCUAAGCUUGAGACCGGGAGGGGUUAGAGGUAUUCCUGGGGGAGCGGUAAAAUGCUAUAAUCCCAGGAGGACCACCUGUGGCGAAGGCGUCUAACCAGAACGGGUCUGACUGUGAGGAACGAAAGCCAGGGGAGCAAACCGGAUUAGAUACCCGAGUAGUCCUGGCCGUAAACGCUGCGAGCAAGGUGUUGCAUAUUCUACAUGAAUAUGCAGUGUCGAAAUGAAGAUGUUAAGCUCGCCGCCUGGGAAGUACGGUCGCAAGACUGAAACUUAAAGGAAUUGGCGGGGGCUCACUACAAGGGGUGCGGCGUGCGGUUUAAUUGAACUCAACACCGGAAAUCUCACCAGGAGCGACGGCAGAAUGCAAGUCAGUCUAGAGGGCUUACUUGACGAGCCGAGAGGUGGUGCAUGGCCGUCGUCAGCUCGUGCCGUAAGGUGUCCUGUUAAGUCAGGCAACGAGCGAGACCUGCAUCUACAAUUGCCAACAGCUCUUUUAGAGGACUGGGCACAUUGUAGAGACUGCCUUGGAAACGAGGAGGAAGGUGCAGGCUACGAUAGGUCUGUAUGCCCCGAAUCCCCUGGGCUACACGCGCGCAACAAUGGCAGGGACAAUGGGAUGCGACUCUGAAAAGAGGAGCUAAUCCUCGAAACCCUGUCUUAGUUCAGAUUGAGGGCUGCAACUCGCCCUCAUGACGCCGGAAUCCCUAGUAAUCGGACGUCAUCAGCGUCCGGUGAAUACGUCCCUGAGCCUUGCACACACCGCCCGUCAAGCCACCCGAGCAGUGUCUAGGUGAGGCCUAGCCUUUUAGUUAGGUCGAACUUAGGCUCAGUGAGGAGGGCUAAGUCGUCACAAGGUA